AAAUUAUUUGAUUGGAUUUAUCUUUAUAAAAUAGUCCAACUGAAUGCUGAAGAGAGCUAGAAUAUGGUCACUGGAAACAGAAAAAAUCCGGUUUUCUCCCCAUCUGUUUAACCAUGCUCUUAUGCCCUUUUUCUUUUCUUUUUAGUUCCAAGGCACGUUGAUCGUACCUAUACAUCUCACCAAGAACAUGGAUGCUUCUCUGCUAUCAGCUGAAGCUGCUGUGACCCCAAAACUAAAAAAUCGCAUUCUGAAUCCUUGCCAAUAAAGAAUGGCCAUCAGAACACGCCCAGUAUCCUAUCUCCUCAUCCAGACAGUGUUUCUCAAUAUGACUAGGAAGAUUUCAACUCCAGUUGCUUCUGAAACUAAGGUAAGACAGCUUUGGGAGAAAGCAAGUUCUGUUUGUGGCAUAAAAGGGAGAGAAUAAGUUUGGGUACAUCAAAUACUUCUGACGUCUCCUUUACAUCUGAACUUAUGAAAAUGUGAGAAAAUACAUUUCCCUGUUGCUCAAGCCAAUUUGAGACAAGAUUUAUGUAUGUUUGUUUGGCUUUUUUCAGCACAAGUCCUUUAUCUGGUACAAAUGGGUUGGAGAGAUUAUUAAUUGUAAUUGUUGUUCCUAUAAGAGAUGCUGAAAUAAUAAAUUAGAAAGCAAGGAGUAUGAAAAGAUUAUCUGGAGAAGGGGAUAAAGUGGAGGUGGGUUCAAAAGGCACCUGUGUCUCAAGAACUUUAGCAACAGUUGGCCAGUAUACUUUCACGGUUGCAGUGGCUGGGGAAAGGGUAAGCAUAUGAAUGUUUUGGUUGAGGGUGGACAAGACAUGCAAGUAACUUUUAUUGAGAACUUAGGUUCUUGGCACUGUUUCCAUUUCAGAUAUAUUACUACAAUUUGCCUCUCAACUGUACUAAGAAAUAGAUAUUUAAAGAGAUAGAAACCUGAUAUGGAGAUAGUAAUAGUCCCACAAUUACUCAGUAUAGAACUCCUCUGCCAGCCACAGUACCUCGAAGUCCCUCACCAUUUAUAGCAUAGUUUAAUAAUUUAAGAAGUUAGAAAAGUACAGAAUACAUGUUUUAAAGGGGUCCAUCAAGAUAAUGUAUUGUCGUGUCCUAACUCUAAGGAACGUUUGCUAAUUCAGAAUAGAUUCAGAAAAAAUCAUUUCUGAAGGCUUCAGGUUAUUUGUGCUAGUUGUUUCAAUGUACUUAUAGCAGAACACCCCAGAGAUUUUAAAUACUUAUCUCAGGACUGAGGAACAACUCAGAUACCUGAAAGAUCUCAUCACGAAGACCUGUACAUGUUAAUGCUUGGUAGCUCUGGGAAGUCUUCUUACGUGACCAAUGAAUGCCACAAAGCCAGGUGAAAAAGAUCUCAGAGGGCUCUGGUGCUUGACGUGUUUCUCUAAGUUUUGCUGAAAUAAUUUAAAGAUAGAUGAAGUGGGAGAAUUUAGAGAUUAUUACUUAUAUGACAUUGUAAUUUCUCCCCUUUGCCAGUAUCCUCCUCCUCUUCAAAGCAAAGGCUUUUGAAAAUGAGUGAAUAAAAAUUGAUUAUAUAAGGUUCUGGGGAAGGAGGGUUAAGAUGGUAUGGUUUGCAUUUUGCAUCACUUUUCCCCUGCAGAAUCAUUUUCUUUACUUCUAGGAAUCUGGGAAUGUGAUCCUAGAACAACACAGAUUUGAACUGUGAUCCUACUUACAUGCAGAUUUUUUUUUUUUCUAAGUGAUACCCCGUAUGCCUGCCCCUCCUGCCGCCUUUUCCGCCACCUCUGUAUCUUCUGCCUUUGCAACCUGAGGCAGUAAGACCAAAGCGUCCUCUUCCUUCUCCUCCUUAGCCUGUGCAAUGGAAAGAUGAGGAUAAAGACCUUUCUGAUGAUCCACUUCCACUUAAUAGUAAAUAUAUUUUAUCUGCCUUAGGAUUUAAAAAAUACUGUUUUCCUUUUUCUAGCUUGCUUUAUUGUAUGACCACAGUAUACAAUACAUACACAAAU
rnacentral:lncRNA from 1 species